CGCGUAGGUGGUUCGAUCAGUCGGAGGUGAAAUCCCUCGGCUCAACCGAGGACCCGCGUCCGAUACUGUCGAACUUGAGUGCAGGAGAGGAGAGCGGAAUUCCCAGUGUAGCGGUGAAAUGCGUAGAUAUUGGGAGGAACACCGGUGGCGAAGGCGGCUCUCUGGACUGUUACUGACACUGAGGCGCGAAAGCUAAGGGGAGCGAAACGGGAUUAGAUACCCCGGUAGUCCUAGCCGUAAACGAUGGGCACUAGGUGUGGGAGGUAUCGACCCCUUCCGUGCCGCAGCUAACGCAUUAAGUGCCCCGCCUGGGGAGUACGGCCGCAAGGUUGAA
rnacentral:rRNA from 1 species